GACAGAGGGUGCAAACGUUGCUCGGAAUCACUGGGCGUAAAGGGCGUGUAGGCGGGACAGUAAGUCGGGCGUGAAAUCCCUGGGCUCAACCCAGGAACUGCACUCGAAACUACUAUUCUUGAGUGUCGGAGAGGAAAGCGGAAUUCCUGGUGUAGAGGUGAAAUUCGUAGAUAUCAGGAGGAACACCAGUGGCGAAGGCGGCUCUCUGGACGAUAACUGACGCUGAGACGCGAAAGCGUGGGGAGCAAACAGG
rnacentral:rRNA from 1 species